rnacentral:rRNA from 1 species
ACACCUACGGGUGGCAGCAACCGGGAAUUGUACGCAAUGGACGAAAGUCUGACGUCGCGACGCCGCGUGGAGGAUGAAGGCCUAAGGGUCGUAAACUCCUUUUGCCAAGUGAGAGAUCACUUGGAGAAUAAGUAACUGCUAACUCUGUGCCAGCAGCAGCGGUAAUACAGAGGUUACAAGCAUUGUCCGGAUUCACUGGGCGUAAAACGUUUCGCAGGUGUUUUCCUAAGUUACGUUUGAAAGACCGGGGCUCAACCUCGGGAUCGGGCGUAAUACUGGGAGAAUUGAAGGGUAUCGGGGCUAUUGGAACUGUCGGUGUAGGGGUGAAAUCCGUUGAUAUCGACAGGAACUCCGAGGGCGUAGGCAGAUAGCUAGGUACCUCUUGACACUCAUGAACGAAAGCUAGGGGAGCGAAAGGGAUUAGAGACCCCUGUAGUCCUAGCCGUAAACACUGCUCGCUAGCUUUUCCAAGCUUUGCUUGGAGGGGCGUAAGCUAACGCGUGAAGCGAGCUGCCUGGGAAGUACGAUCGCAAGAUUAAAACUCAAAGGAAUUGACGGGGACCUGCACAACCAGCGGAGCAUGUGGUUUAAUUCGAGACGAACCGAAGAACCUUACCCAGAUUUGACAUGAUACCGUUUAGGCACCUAGAAAUAGGAGCUGAUCCUUCAGAAAUGUUGGAUGGUACCACAGGUGUUGCAUGGCUGUCGUCAGCUCGUGCCGUAGGGUGUUCCCUUAAGUGGGGUAACGAGCGCAACCCCUUUCGCGUGUUGAAUAUUCACGCGAUACAGACCGCCUCGAGCGGUAGGAAGCGGGGACGACGUCAAGUCAGCAUGGCCCUUAUAUCUGGGGCAACACACAUACUACAAUGAAGCCGACAAACCGUCGCCAAGCCGUAAGGUGGAGCUAAUCGGAAAAACGGCUUCUCAGUGGGGAUUGUGGGCUGAAACCCGCCCACAUGAACAUGGAGUUGGUAGUAAUCGUGAAUCAGCUAAGUCACGGUGAAUACGUUCUCAGGUCUUGUACACACCGCCCGUCAAGUCAGUGGAGUUGGGGGCACCCGAAUGUCUAUUGUUAGGCAGAAGGUGACACCAGCAACAAGGAUUAAGUCGUAACAAGGUAUCCCUACUGGAAGGUGGGGAUG